CAGGGAUUGCCUCAGUAACGGCGAGUGAAGCGGCAACAGCUCAAAUUUGAAAUCUGACCCCGUUCGGGGCCCGAGUUGUAAUUUGCAGAGGGUGCUUCGGGCGCGGCGCCGGUCUAAGUGCCUUGGAACAGGACGUCACAGAGGGUGAGAAUCCCGUAUGUGACCGGCGACCAAGCCCAUGUGAAGCCCUUUCGACGAGUCGAGUUGUUUGGGAAUGCAGCUCAAAACGGGUGGUAAAUUUCAUCUAAAGCUAAAUACCGGCCAGAGACCGAUAGCGGACAAGUAGAGUGAUCGAAAGAUGAAAAGCACUUUGGAAAGAGAGUCAAACAGUACGUGAAAUUGUUGAAAGGGAAGCGCUUGCGAUCAGACCGGUCCGGGGGCGAUCAGCCGCGGCUCGUCCGCGGUGCACUCGCCCUCGAUCCGGCCAGCAUCGGUUUGGGCGGCGGGAGAAAAGUCCCGGGAACGUAGCUUCCCUCGGGGAGUCUUAUAGCCCGGGUCGUCAUGCCGCCCGCCCGGACCGAGGACCGCGCUUCGGCUAGGAUGCUGGCGUAAUGGUCGCAAGCGACCCGUCUUGAAACACGGACCAAGGAGUCUAACAUCUAUGCGAGUGUUUGGGUGUCAAACCCGGGCGCGGAAUGAAAGUGAACGGAGGUGGGAACCCGUCGCACGGCGCACCAUCGACCGAUCCAGAUGUCUUCGGAUGGAUUUGAGUACGAGCAUAGCUGUUGGGACCCGAAAGAUGGUGAACUAUGCCCGGAUAGGGUGAAGCCAGAGGAAACUCUGGUGGAGGCUCGCAGCGGUUCUGACGUGCAAAUCGAUCGUCAAAUCUAGGCAUAGGGGCGAAAGACCAAUCGAACCAUCUAG
rnacentral:rRNA from 1 species